GUACUUUAGUAAUAAUAGGCUUUAGGCUGGUUUUCAUAUGCUUGUACAUGGCAAUAGUUGUCUCAGUAUAUAUAUACCACAGUUAUGAGUUAUGACCAACUAGUAGGGAUCUAACACUUAACUAAGUGUCCUAUCAUCUUAUUUAUUCCAUCACUUUUAUUUGUUUACUAUUUAAUUUGCAUUUUAUUGGAGACUUUGCAGAGCAUAUAUUUACCAUUUUACCUCAUUGUGAUGGCAGGGGUGGGUAAAAGAAUUAAUUU